GAAAUAUAUUAAAUUUAAGCUUCUAACUUAAAAUUAAGCAUUAUAUAAUGUUUAUAUUUCU
rnacentral:tRNA from 1 species